GACCAGCACAAAUAAUAACCAAAAAUUCAAAAUAAUAAAGAAUCAUAUAAUUAAGGUGGCGCUGAUUUUCUUCCAUAAACCACUAAUAGAUUAAACAAUAAAAAGAUGGAUCACAUAAUCUGUUUUUGGGGUAAUCGUUUCGAAUUUGCAGCUUGUAAAUGGGGUGAUUUAGAAUGGCUAAGCCGCCUUUCUUCGAAGAGCAGUUUGGCAAACCUUGUAAGAGAUUUUCUUUUUUUUUUGAUAAGCUGCCGACAAGUAAAUCCCAGUACACCUAUCCUAUGGAGCAAGCACUAAUUCCAAUCAAAACAAACCAUACAACAAUAGCAGCAAACGAAAUGACAGCAGCAAACAAUCAAAUAGAACCAAAUAAAAUGACAGCAAAGAAAAGCACAUAAAAUCAGCAGCAACAGGAUACCAUUCAAAGGAGAGCUGCAGAAAAUCAGCACAACCAGUCAACCCCAAAAUAUACAAGAGCCUGCAACACUGUUGUUUCACGAAGAAAGUGGACAAUCUAGCACUUGGAAAUAGAAUAAUACAUAUUUUGAGUGUGAGAUAGACGCAGUGGUGAGUGGCCA
rnacentral:misc_RNA from 1 species